AGAUUGAACGCUGGCGGCAUGCCUUACACAUGCAAGUCGAACGGCAGCACGGGAGCAAUCCUGGUGGCGAGUGGCGAACGGGUGAGUAAUACAUCGGAACGUGCCCAAUCGUGGGGGAUAACGCAGCGAAAGCUGUGCUAAUACCGCAUAAGAUCUACGGAUGAAAGCAGGGGAUCGCAAGACCUUGCGCGAAUGGAGCGGCCGAUGGCAGAUUAGGUAGUUGGUGAGGUAAAGGCUCACCAAGCCUUCGAUCUGUAGCUGGUCUGAGAGGACGACCAGCCACACUGGGACUGAGACACGGCCAGACUCCUACGGGAGGCAGCAGUGGGGAAUUUUGGACAAUGGGACGAAAGCCUGAUCCAGCCAUGCCGCGUGCAGGAUGAAGGCCUUGGUGUAAUGCUUUGUAGAACGAAAGUACUCUUACUAAUAAGAAGGAUACAUGACGUACG
rnacentral:rRNA from 1 species